AAAUUGAAGAGUUUGAUCAUGGCUCAGAUUGAACGCUGGCGGCAGGCCUAACACAUGCAAGUCGAACGGUAACAGGAAGCAGCUUGCUGCUUCGCUGACGAGUGGCGGACGGGUGAGUAAUGUCUGGGAAACUGCCUGAUGGAGGGGGAUAACUACUGGAAACGGUGGCUAAUACCGCAUAACGUCGCAAGACCAAAGAGGGGGACCUUCGGGCCUCUUGCCAUCAGAUGUGCCCAGAUGGGAUUAGCUUGUUGGUGAGGUAACGGCUCACCAAGGCGACGAUCCCUAGCUGGUCUGAGAGGAUGACCAGCCACACUGGAACUGAGACACGGUCCAGACUCCUACGGGAGGCAGCAGUGGGGAAUAUUGCACAAUGGGCGCAAGCCUGAUGCAGCCAUGCCGCGUGUAUGAAGAAGGCCUUCGGGUUGUAAAGUACUUUCAGCGGGGAGGAAGGUGUUGUGGUUAAUAACCACAGCAAUUGACGUUACCCGCAGAAGAAGCACCGGCUAACUCCGUGCCAGCAGCCGCGGUAAUACGGAGGGUGCAAGCGUUAAUCGGAAUUACUGGGCGUAAAGCGCACGCAGGCGGUCUGUCAAGUCGGAUGUGAAAUCCCCGGGCUCAACCUGGGAACUGCAUUCGAAACUGGCAGGCUUGAGUCUUGUAGAGGGGGGUAGAAUUCCAGGUGUAGCGGUGAAAUGCGUAGAGAUCUGGAGGAAUACCGGUGGCGAAGGCGGCCCCCUGGACAAAGACUGACGCUCAGGUGCGAAAGCGUGGGGAGCAAACAGGAUUAGAUACCCUGGUAGUCCACGCCGUAAACGAUGUCUACUUGGAGGUUGUGCCCUUGAGGCGUGGCUUCCGGAGCUAACGCGUUAAGUAGACCGCCUGGGGAGUACGGCCGCAAGGUUAAAACUCAAAUGAAUUGACGGGGGCCCGCACAAGCGGUGGAGCAUGUGGUUUAAUUCGAUGCAACGCGAAGAACCUUACCUGGUCUUGACAUCCACAGAAGAAUCCAGAGAUGGAUUUGUGCCUUCGGGAACUGUGAGACAGGUGCUGCAUGGCUGUCGUCAGCUCGUGUUGUGAAAUGUUGGGUUAAGUCCCGCAACGAGCGCAACCCUUAUCCUUUGUUGCCAGCGGUUAGGCCGGGAACUCAAAGGAGACUGCCAGUGAUAAACUGGAGGAAGGUGGGGAUGACGUCAAGUCAUCAUGGCCCUUACGACCAGGGCUACACACGUGCUACAAUGGCGCAUACAAAGAGAAGCGACCUCGCGAGAGCAAGCGGACCUCAUAAAGUGCGUCGUAGUCCGGAUUGGAGUCUGCAACUCGACUCCAUGAAGUCGGAAUCGCUAGUAAUCGUGGAUCAGAAUGCCACGGUGAAUACGUUCCCGGGCCUUGUACACACCGCCCGUCACACCAUGGGAGUGGGUUGCAAAAGAAGUAGGUAGCUUAACCUUCGGGAGGGCGCUUACCACUUUGUGAUUCAUGACUGGGGUGAAGUCGUAACAAGGUAACCGUAGGGGAACCUGCGGUUGGAUCACCUCCUUACCUUAAAGAA
rnacentral:rRNA from 5 species